UGUCCCCCUUUCACUUUGCCAAAUGGACUGAUGUCUUUAUUGGUCAUUCAAGUGGGGCAAAGGAAAUGUCCUCUUAAAACUCAGGCAGAUGAAGUGUUUGCCACGUAACCUGUCAGAUUGAAGUAGAU
ensembl:snoRNA